CGGCGGACGGGUGAGUAACACGUGGAUAACCUACCUAUAAGACUGGGAUAACUUCGGGAAACCGGAGCUAAUACCGGAUAAUAUAUUGAACCGCAUGGUUCAAUAGUGAAAGACGGUUUUGCUGUCACUUAUAGAUGGAUCCGCGCCGCAUUAGCUAGUUGGUAAGGUAACGGCUUACCAAGGCAACGAUGCGUAGCCGACCUUAGAGGGUGAUCGGCCACACUGGAACUGAGACACGGUCCAGACUCCUACGGGAGGCAGCAGUC
rnacentral:rRNA from 1 species